AGGAACGGAGGGAGUACAUGAGAUGAUGUUGCCUUGCGAUCCGGCGCCAGCCACCAUGCUGCCAGAGAGGGAACUGGAUGAACUGAUAGGUACUGUAUGAACUGUAAAUGAUCUAGAAGCAAUGCUGCAUUACACCACUUGUCAUUUGACUCAAUUACUUCCCCCGCCAAACAAAUGGACUCUACUAGUUCAGUGCACAUUCGUGUCAUUUAUCCAGGGCACAUACCGGAGAUCGAUUGGUGGUGCAAGCUCCCUAGAAGAGGUCCUCGGAAGAGAAGAAUACCACUAUGCAUGGACCGGGGUUGGUUUUUGGGUAACCACUUCGGGGUAAGGAUCAAACUUUAUAUAUUCUCAGGUUGAAAUUCAACAAAUUACUCACACAUGUAUUUAGUGCUUUAUAUAUGGUGUGCACUCUUUUGAGAUUCAGAAUUUCCAUCUGUUACUAAUUCGUCAGGGUGAAACAGCCAAAGAAUUAUUUUCUGUUGGUUGUUUUAAUAACAGGAUAAUUCUUGCCCCCGGGAUGCACCUUCGGGAAGUGACGGUCGAAGACCCACCAGGCAUUGGGAUCCCGAAGAGGUUAAUAGACUGAUUGCUGGUGUUGAAAAAUAUGGACAGUCAAAAUGGCACAUGAUAACGAGGGAAUAUUUUCCAGACCCAGAUCAAACUCAAAGGGCUCGAACUCCAGGGGAUCUGAAGGAUAAGUGGAGGAACUUGCGGAAACCAUGCCAGGGAGAUGUACAAACAAGAUGCUAUAAUCCUCUUAAAAGUAGGCAGAUUAAACGAAUCAAGAAAAUAUUAGGGAUACGUGAUGAAUGAUGUGAAGAACCCGUAUCCAAACUGAUCAAUAAUGGAGGUGCUGUUUAGGACUUUUGAUGUACAAAUUAAGUAGACAGUAGCUGGACUGAAGCUUUUGAAAUGUUUAGCACUGUCUUACUAAUGAUGUGGAGGGAGGUCUCAUGCCCCGGUUUAGUAGUCCAGUGUUAAGAUAACAUUAUCUGAAGACACUAGAUCAUUGCUGGCGCAUGUUGCCGCGCUGAUCUUUUUUAGUGUAAUCUGAUAGUGUUGCAAAUUUAUGUAAAAAUGUGUGGCUGUUUUUUUUAGCAUAGUUGUUGUUUUCUUACUAACGUGAGUACAUAAUGGAAGAUUAGUCUAUUGGCAAAAAAAAGAAUGGAAGUUUAGUCAUUUUUAUUAGGCUGGUUAUGGACCUUAUUUGUAGAUACUUGGAAAUACAUGUGUGCUAAUAUUUGUGAUAAAUUCUGAACGGUACAAAACUUA